GAAAUGCGAUAAGUAAUGUGAAUUGCAGAAUUCCGUGAAUCAUCGAAUCUUUGAACGCACAUUGCGCCCUCUGGCAUUCCGGGGGCAUGCCUGUCCGAGCGUCAUUACGCACCCUCAAGCCCGGCUUGUGUGAUGGGCCCCGGCGUCUCGUUCGCGAGACGGGCCCGAAAGGCAGCGGCGGCGUCGACCCGAUGAGCCCGAGCGUAUGGGGACUUCUGUCACACGUUCGCGGUGCGGACCGGUGCCUGCUUGACUUUUCUGAUUAUCCAGGUUGACCUCGGAUCAGGUAGGGAUACCCGCUGAACUUAAGC
rnacentral:misc_RNA from 1 species